GACAGAGGGUGCAAACGUUGUUCGGAAUUACUGGGCGUAAAGCGCGUGUAGGCGGCCCUGCAAGUCGGAUGUGAAAUCCCACGGCUCAACCGUGGAAGUGCAUUCGAAACUGCAGGGCUAGAGUCCUGGAGAGGAAGGUGGAAUGCUUGGUGUAGAGGUGAAAUUCGUAGAUAUCAAGCGGAACACCGGUGGCGAAGGCGGCCUUCUGGACAGUGACUGACGCUGAGAC
rnacentral:rRNA from 1 species